AUUUACUAACUGCUAACUGCCGCUAAACACAGGCCAGAACCAGAACCGAACUAUUAUACAUAAGUGAACCUACUAGAAAGCUUCUGAACACGCUCUUUGUGCAAGAGACCUGGAGGGGAAGAGGAAGGCUUGGCGCCUUAAAUCUUUCUUCCCCUACUUUAAAAAAAUCAGGACCAGAGAAGAUAAAUACAACAAAGCCACCUGACACAAAACCCCAGUGCUGAGAGAGGAGGAGAGGCCACAGUGAGCCUUCCCUGAGGAAGUGACCCAAUAAUAAGUACCCACUAGCUAAGGCACUCGCCCCUCAGGAGCUGUGUGAUGCUGGAUAUCCUGUAUCCCUCUCUGAGCACGGUUUCUCUCUAUUAUAAAACAGGAAUAGAAUGGUCACUGAGAAGAUCCCCAGAGAGAGCCAAGCUCCUUGGUAAACUGUAAAGUACUGUGACACACAAUGAGCAUCACCAUUCUUUCAAAGUCAGCAAAGUACAGGCUGUGUUGGGACUGAACACAUCACAGUAUUGAAGUCCCCGGGAAAGAGCCAGGAGCAGCCACCUGGGAUUUGCAUGCCUCUAAAGCUCCGGCCCUUCUCUUCCCAUGUUGUUUAGCCUCUGGUCAGCACAGGGGGAUUUCCUGGCUGAGAAGUCAAGUUCAAUGCCAUCGACUUGAUAUUUUUCUUUAAACCAACUGACUUUUCCUCUGAAAAUAAAUUGGGUCCUGACCUAACCUAAUCAACACCUGCGCUGUCACAGAUCUGAGGUACUAACUGCUGUCUUCAGAUACAUUACACUGAAUACAGACAUGCUGGACAUUUCUAACGAUCUCCCAUGGACCACCGAAUGUCUGUGGACCCCCCAGGAGUACGCAGAUGGAUCCUGACCUGGCCCAACCCCCAAUUGUUCAGAUGGGAAUCUGAAGCCCAGAGAGAGACUGUCACUCCCACAAGGUCACACAGCGAAUUAGCCAUCGGUCAGCAGCUGUGACCCAGUUCUUCCGGCUCCCAGGCCAGUGCUCGUUCCACAGCAAGCUUCCAACCCGCCCCCCCCAAUCAGGAGCAAAAGUUCUCACGCCCUGGCACAUCCUCUCCAAAAAAAGAAAAAGAAAAAUUUUUUCUGAAGGACAGAGAAGCCAGCUCCGUUUCUGCCUCCCUGAAGCUCUGGAGGGCCUGAGGAGACCAGGGCCCAGAGCCUUCGACCCUCGAGGUCUGCGUGCUCCCUCCCCCUGC
rnacentral:lncRNA from 1 species